AUGAGUCGAAAAAUUGAGAAGGAGCGAAACCCGCAACUUCCGACACCGACAAAAUCGAACAACCACCUUCGAUCAACCGCCAACACUCACACCAUCACCAGUCAGCCCCGUGUUAUCCACCCUCACAACACGUCGGUUGUCAUCCCUGCAGUAACCACUGUGCCGCCAGAUCUAAACAACAACCGACUCCCGUUUCACCGCCGGUACGUAUGGCUUCCUUUUUUUUUUCUUCGUUUCUUCUAA
rnacentral:lncRNA from 1 species